rnacentral:rRNA from 1 species
CUGGCGGCGUGCUUAACACAUGCAAGUCGAACGGUGAACACGGAGCUUGCUCUGUGGGAUCAGUGGCGAACGGGUGAGUAACACGUGAGCAACCUGCCCCUGACUCUGGGAUAAGCGCUGGAAACGGCGUCUAAUACUGGAUACGAACCACGAAGGCAUCUUCAGUGGUUGGAAAGAAUUUCGGUUGGGGAUGGGCUCGCGGCCUAUCAGCUUGUUGGUGAGGUAAUGGCUCACCAAGGCGUCGACGGGUAGCCGGCCUGAGAGGGUGACCGGCCACACUGGGACUGAGACACGGCCCAGACUCCUACGGGAGGCAGCAGUGGGGAAUAUUGCACAAUGGGCGCAAGCCUGAUGCAGCAACGCCGCGUGAGGGAUGACGGCCUUCGGGUUGUAAACCUCUUUUAGCAGGGAAGAAGCGAAAGUGACGGUACCUGCAGAAAAAGCGCCGGCUAACUACGUGCCAGCAGCCGCGGUAAUACGUAGGGCGCAAGCGUUAUCCGGAAUUAUUGGGCGUAAAGAGCUCGUAGGCGGUUUGUCGCGUCUGCUGUGAAAUCCGGAGGCUCAACCUCCGGCCUGCAGUGGGUACGGGCAGACUAGAGUGCGGUAGGGGAGAUUGGAAUUCCUGGUGUAGCGGUGGAAUGCGCAGAUAUCAGGAGGAACACCGAUGGCGAAGGCAGAUCUCUGGGCCGUAACUGACGCUGAGGAGCGAAAGGGUGGGGAGCAAACAGGCUUAGAUACCCUGGUAGUCCACCCCGUAAACGUUGGGAACUAGUUGUGGGGUCCAUUCCACGGAUUCCGUGACGCAGCUAACGCAUUAAGUUCCCCGCCUGGGGAGUACGGCCGCAAGGCUAAAACUCAAAGGAAUUGACGGGGACCCGCACAAGCGGCGGAGCAUGCGGAUUAAUUCGAUG